AUUAGCCUGGAAUGUUCGAUAAACCUUGAAUUUUUGAACCUACAAUACUUUAAACGGGAUUCCAAUAUUUAUAUAUAGAUGUCGGGCCGUCACUGCUGCAUUUUGCGGUAUAUUAUCAACGGAUGGCAGAAAUAUAUGUGCGGUUGCCCACCUAGCAUGCGCUAGGAGUCAAAAAUCAGGGAACGGCAUUUCGGGUAUACA
rnacentral:other from 1 species